rnacentral:rRNA from 1 species
UACAGAGGGUGCAAGCGUUGUUCGGAAUUAUUGGGCGUAAAGCGCGUGUAGGCGGCUUUGCAAGUCGGGUGUGAAAGCCCUCAGCUCAACUGAGGAAGUGCGCCCGAAACUGCAGAGCUUGAGUACCGGAGAGGAUGGCGGAAUUCCCGAAGUAGAGGUGAAAUUCGUAGAUAUCGGGAGGAACACCAGUGGCGAAGGCGGCGAUCUGGGCAGAUACUGACGCUGAGGUGCGAAAGCGUGGGGAGCAAACAGG